UACGUAGGGACCGAGCGUUGUCCGGAAUCAUUGGGCGUAAAGAGCGUGUAGGCGGCCACUUAAGUCCUGCGUGAAAUCUUGCGGCUCAACCGCAAGCGGUCGUGGGAAACUGGGUGGCUAGAGUGCGGGAGAGGAGAGUGGAAUUCCUGGUGUAGCGGUGGAAUGCGCAGAUAUCAGGAAGAACACCCGUGGCGAAGGCGGCUCUCUGGGCAUUACCUGACGCUGAGGAGCGAAAGUGUGGGGAGCGAACAGG
rnacentral:rRNA from 1 species